AUUUUUUCUUUCCGGUACUCUGAGUUAUACCUCAGUUUACCCUCAGUACUGCUAUUUACUCUCUUUUCUAAUCUCUGCUUCUCUCUAUUAAUGUGUACUGUAAAUUUCUGAAAUAAAUAAAUAAAUAAAUAAAGGUGUGGCUAGAAAGUCUAUGAAAUUGCAAAAUGAUGUCUACUGUUAGAGCUGGUUCUUGGAGAGAUUUAAGCACUAAUGAGAUGUCUUAUGGAUCUCAGAGAAAGAUUUCCGCCUUUCUGGACUCGUCUCACACCCUCAACUGGAAAGACUUGCUCUCAAUGAUGCCAGAAUACAAUCCUCUACAGAUGCAGCAGUUAUCCCAGCAGGAGGCGAGAGGGAAGAGUCCCACUAUAUCACUGUUGAGCCACAUGGCAUCAAGAGGUAGGACUGUUGGCCAGUUGUAUGACUUUUGCAAGACACUUGGAAUGAACAGAAUAUGUGAAUUAAUAGUACAAGGAUUACAAGGAACAUCAAAGUAGACGUACCUUUGCCUACUCCUCAUUCCACUCCUCCGUCAAACGGUUGACCAUUUGUCCCUCCCCACCCUCCUCCUCCUCCUCAACCUGUAAUUGUUGAUACUCUACUACGUGAAUCUAGCGAUAAUUCUACAAGUACUUCUAGAACCGACCAAUCAGAUCUUAAACCAAAUGCAAAACCGUCUCUCUCUCCCCCUUCCUCUUCAUCUCUCCACCCACCACUCUCUCACGAGACCACACCCACUCAGAUCCUCUCGUACGAAGACGUCAAAAAAGCGACCGGAGACUUUGAUAAUGUUUUAUUUUCUGAGGGUGGACAUAAGCUGGGACAGGGUGGGUUUGGCGUUGUCUAUCAGGGACAGAUUAAUCUUGGGGAAGGUAAUAGGGAAGUCGCUGUCAAAGUUUUUGUCGAUGAUGCAAAUUCUGAAAUGGUAUUACAAUUCAAGACUGAGCUACACACCAUUUCAAA